AGAAAUCACCAAAUGACUGGCCCUUUCACUUGGCAGCAUCAACUCACCAUUCAGCCGCUGACCCCCAGUGACAGACUUCCGGGAGACUGGAAGGUAGUGGUGUCCACCAUGCUGGGAGGAGGACAGCGCUAAGUGACGGCACCCGACUCUGUGUGUGUGUGUCCUGACGUCCACCGCUGGUGCUGAAGUGAGGGUCUGAGGUGGGCAGCACAGGGCCAGAAGACAGCACCUGACUCUGUGUGUGUGUGUCCUGACGUUCACCGCUGGUGCUGAAGUGAGGGUCUGAGGUGGGCAGCACAGGGCCAGAAGACAGCACCCGACUCUGUGUGUGUGUGUCCUGACGUCCACCGCUGGUGCUGAAGUGAGGGUCUGAGGUGGGCAGCACAGGGCCAGAAGACAGCACCCGACUCUGUGUGUGUGUGUCCUGAUGUUCACCGCUGGUGCUGGUGCUGAAGUGAGGGUCUGAGACACUUGCUGUGCUCAGCACUCACUGUCCUUGCUCCUUGGUGCAUCCUUCCCUUCACCUACUUGCUUGGUCCCUGAGUAGCGGUGAGGAAGACUUGCUACCCCCUCGGCUGCAAGGCCGGGCAGCAGCCUGAGUGGCCAGGAGCAGCAGAGCAGACUGCCACUGGUGUGAGGAUCAGGGGCGAUCAGAAGAAUCACCACCACCACCACCCUGC